rnacentral:rRNA from 1 species
AACGAACGCUGGCGGCAUGCCUAACACAUGCAAGUCGAACGAGACCUUCGGGUCUAGUGGCGCACGGGUGCGUAAGGCGUGGGAACCUGCCCUUAGGUUCGGAAUAACUCCCCGAAAGGGGUGCUAAUACCGGAUAAUGUCUUCGGACCAAAGAUUUAUCGCCUUUGGAUGGGCCCGCGUUGGAUUAGCUAGUUGGUAGGGUAAAAGCCUACCAAGGCGACGAUCCAUAGCUGGUCUGAGAGGAUGAUCAGCCACACUGGGACUGAGACACGGCCCAGACUCCUACGGGAGGCAGCAGUGGGGAAUAUUGGACAAUGGGCGAAAGCCUGAUCCAGCAAUGCCGCGUGAGUGAUGAAGGCCUUAGGGUUGUAAAGCUCUUUUACCCGGGAUGAUAAUGACAGUACCGGGAGAAUAAGCUCCGGCUAACUCCGUG